rnacentral:rRNA from 1 species
UAGGGAAUCUUCCGCAAUGGACGCAAGUCUGACGGAGCAACGCCGCGUGAGUGAAGAAGGAUUUCGGUUCGUAAAACUCUGUUGUUAGAGAAGAACAGCGCAUAGAGUAACCGUUAUGCGUGUGACGGUAUCUAACCAGAAAGCCACGGCUAACUACGUGCCAGCAGCCGCGGUAAUACGUAGGUGGCAAGCGUUGUCCGGAUUUAUUGGGCGUAAAGCGAGCGCAGGCGGUCAAUUAAGUCUGAUGUGAAAGCCCCCGGCUCAACCGGGGAGGGUCAUUGGAAACUGGUUGACUUGAGUGCAGAAGAGGAGAGUGGAAUUCCAUGUGUAACGGUGAAAUGCGUAGAUAUAUGGAGGAACACCGGUGGCGAAAGCGGCUCUCUGGUCUGUAACUGACGCUGAGGCUCGAAAGCGUGGGGAGCGAACAGG